rnacentral:rRNA from 1 species
UUCCGGUGGAUCCCCCGGGACCCGACUGCUAUCAGAGUGGGACUAAGCCAUGCGAGUCGACGUAGCAAUGCGUGGCGAACGGCUCAGUAACACGUAGUCAACAUGCCCAGGGGACGUGGAUAACCUCGGGAAACUGAGAAUAAACCACGAUAGGUCACGAUUUCUGGAAUGGAUUAUGGCCUAAAUCUACAUGGCCCCUGGAUUGGACUGCGGCCGAUCAGGCUGUUGGUGAGGUAAUGGCCCACCAAACCUAUAACCGGUACGGGCUCUGAGAGGAGAAGCCCGGAGAUGGGCACUGAGACAAGGGCCCAGGCCCUAUGGGGCGCAGCAGGCGCGAAACCUCUGCAAUAGGCGAAAGCCUGACAGGGUUACUCUGAGUGAUUUCCGCUAAGGGGAUCUUUUGGCACCUCUAAAAAUGGUGCAGAAUAAGGGGUGGGCAAGUCUGGUGUCAGCCGCCGCGGUAAUACCAGCACCCCGAGUGGUCGGGACGAUUAUUGGGCCUAAAGCAUCCGUAGCCGGUUCUGCAAGUCUUCCGUUAAAUCCAGCCGCUCAACGGAUGGGCCGCGGAGGAUACUACAGGACUAGGAGGCGGGAGAGGCAAGCGGUACUCAGUGGGUAGGGGUAAAAUCCUUUGAUCCAUUGAAGACCACCAGUGGCGAAGGCGGCUUGCCAGAACGCGCUCGACGGUGAGGGAUGAAAGCUGGGGGAGCAAACCGGAUUAGAUACCCGGGUAGUCCCAGCUGUAAACGAUGCAGACUCGGUGAUGGGCUAGCCUUGUGCCAGCCCAGUGCCGCAGGGAAGCCGUUAAGUCUGCCGCCUGGGGAGUACGGUCGCAAGACUGAAACUUUAAGGAAUUGGCGGGGGAGCC